AAAGGUGUGCUAAUACCGCAUAAUCUCUGAGGAGAAAAGCAGGGGAUCGCAAGACCUUGCGCUUUUGGAGCGGCCGAUGCCUGAUUAGCUUGUUGGUAAGGUAAAAGCUUACCAAGGCUUCNAUCAGUAGCUGGUCUGAGAGGACGACCAGCCACACUGGGACUGAGACACGGCCCANACUCCUACGGGAGGCAGCAGUGGGGAAUUUUGGACAAUGGGGGCAACCCUGAUCCAGCCNUGCCGCGUGAGUGAAGAAGGCCUUCGGNUUGUAAAGNUCUUUCAGCCGGAACGAAACGGUUACGGUUAAUACCCGUGACUAAUGACGGUACCGGAAGAAGAAGCACCGGCUAACUACGUGCCAGCAGCCGCGGUAAUACGUAGGGUGCGAGCGUUAAUCGGAAUUNCUGGGCGUAAAGCGUGCGCAGGUGGUUUUGUAAGUCAGAUGUGAAAGCCCCGGGCUCAACCUGGGAACUGCGUUUGAAACUACAAGACUAGAGUGUGGCAGAGGGGGGUGGAAUUCCGCGUGUAGCAGUGAAAUGCGUAGAGAUGUGGAGGAACACCGAUGGCGAAGGCAGCCCCCUGGGUCAACACUGACGCUCAGGCACGAAAGCAUGGGGAGCAAACAGGAUUAGAUACCCUGGUAGUCCACGCCCUAAACGAUGUCAACUAGUUGUCGGGCCUUUACGGGCUUGGUAACGUAGCUAACGCGUGAAGUUGACCGCCUGGGGAGUACGAUCGCAAGAUUAAAACUCAAAUGAAUUGACGGGGACCCGCACAAGCGGUGGAUUAUGUGGAUUAAUUCGAUGCAACGCGAAAAACCUUACCUACCCUUGACAUGUAUCGAAGCCCGCAGAAAAGCGGAGGUGCCCGAAAGGGAACGAUAACACAGGUGCUGCAUGGCUGUCGUCAGCUCGUGUCGUGAGAUGUUGGGUUAAGUCCCGCAACGAGCGCAACCCUUGUCAUUAAUUGCCAUCAUUUAGUUGGGCACUUUAAUGAGACUGCCGGUGACAAACCGGAGGAAGGUGGGGAUGACGUCAAGUCCUCAUGGCCCUUA
rnacentral:rRNA from 1 species